rnacentral:rRNA from 1 species
CGCAGCCGCGGUAAUUCCAGCUCCAAUAGCGUAUAUUAAAGUUGCUGCAGUUAAAAAGCUCGUAGUUGAAUUUCGGGACCAAUAUGUCGGUCGUGCUUCGGUACGUACUGGCAUCGUUGGUUUCUCCCUUCUGAUGAACCAUGAUGUCAUUCAUUUGGUGUCGUGGGGAAUCAGGACUGUUACUUUGAAAAAUUAGAGUGUUUAAAGCAGGCUCACGCUUGAAUACAUUAGCAUGGAAUAAUGAAAUAGGACGUUUGAUUCUAUUUUGCUGGUUUCUAGGAUCAACGUAAUGAUUAAUAGGGAUAGUUGGGGGCAUUAGUAUUCAAUUGUCAGAGGUGAAAUUCUUGGAUU